ensembl:lncRNA LINC02669 long intergenic non-protein coding RNA 2669
AUUGGUACAGGAUCGCAGAACAGCACAUUCAACGUUAUCGCCAAGGCAAAAUUCCAUUCAUGCUUCACAUGUCUUCUUCCAGCAAACACGUCUUUGAGUGCAUGUUAUUGCCACAGCUUUGGGACAGGGGCCAGGACAACAGGGAGACUUUUCAGGGCUGGGCAGGGAUCGCCCGUCAAGAGCAAGGGGCAGGGUUUUGAAUCAUGUCUUUUGUCUUCUGAAUCCCAAAUGACGGCUGUUUCCAGGAAAUUUCAGUUUCUUUUGUCAUUUUUUUUUUUUUAAAUCUUGGGGCACUCUUUUCUCAUGGGUACAUUCAGAGAAGAGGAAUGUUUGUUCACUGGUGAAGAGAACAUCCCGUGUACUAUCGUGUAGAAGUUGUAGUAGACGCUGUGGUCUUUCCAACAACAAACAAACUGCUGGGACAGGACCCAGGAGGUUCCGGAGGAUCAGGAGGUCCACCUGGGAGAAGAGCUGAUCGGCUAGUAGGAGAGCUGGAAAAGCAACAGACACCUACUUAGUCCCUUCCCUGGGGCCCGGCUCCAGUCUGAGCUGUCACGCCACAGCAAAGGCAUCACUUCAGGACAGCAAAGCCCCUGUCUCCCUCCCUUCCAGCUCCUCAGACUUCACCCUGGUAACACGUUUGUUUAAAAAACAUAUUUUUCCCCCUUGUAAAGAAUCUAGGAUACAAGGGGUCAGCCCAGCAGUUUAGGUAUCAAGAAGAAACUGCUCUCGGAGCUAAAGUAAGAAACAGUGCCUGUCUAUAGCGCAAAUAAAGAGUUGGAACAAGAUAAAA